rnacentral:rRNA from 1 species
GACGAACGCUGGCGGCGUGCCUAAUACAUGCAAGUCGAACGAGUGGCGGACGGGUGAGUAAUAUAUCGGAACGUGCCCAGUAGCGGGGGAUAACUACUCGAAAGAGUGGCUAAUACCGCAUACUGUUGGUGCGGCCGAUAUCGGAUUAGCUUGUUGGGGGGGUAAAGGCUCACCAAGGCAACGAUCCGUAGCUGGUUUGAGGGGACGACCAGCCACACUGGGACUGAGACACGGCCCAGACUCCUACGGGAGGCAGCAGUGGGGAAUUUUGGACAAUGGGGGAAACCCUGAUCCAGCCAUCCCGCGUGUAUGAGAAGGCCUUCGGAUUGUAAAGCACUUUAAGUGGGGAGGCGUUACCAACAGAAUAAGCACCGGCUAACUUCGUGCCAGCAGCCGCGGUAAUUC